UGACAGUACUCCUACGGGGAGGCAGCAGUGGGGGAAUAUUGCACAAUGGGCGCAAGCCUGAUGCAGCCAUGCCGCGUGUGUGAAGAAGGACCUUCGGGUUGUAAAGCACUUUCAGUCGUGAGGAAGGUAGUGUAGUUAAUAGCUGCAUUAUUUGACGUUAGCGACAGAAGAAGCACCGGCUAACUCCGUGCCAGCAGCCGCGGUAAUACGGAGGGUGCGAGCGUUAAUCGGAAUUACUGGGCGUAAAGCGCAUGCAGGUGGUUUGUUAAGUCAGAUGUGAAAGCCCGGGGCUCAACCUCGGAAUAGCAUUUGAAACUGGCAGACUAGAGUACUGUAGAGGGGGGUAGGAAUUUCAGGUGUAGCGGUGAAAUGCGUAGAGAUCUGAAGGAAUACCGGUGGCGAAGGCGGCCCCCUCGGACAGAUACUGACACUCAGAUGCGAAAGCGUGGGGAGCAAACAGGAUUAGAUACCCUGGUAG
rnacentral:rRNA from 1 species